CGAGGUUUUCGGCAACCAUAAAAUAAUAAGAGUUUAGAGAGUUGUAAGAAAUUAAGAGAGAGAUUUUUACGUGGUUGUGGCGUUAAUGAGCCUUAGUCCACGAGUCUGUAUAUUUAUGAUUGUAUUUAAUACAGAGAAUGUUCUUGGUGAGUAUUUACUCUUCUUGCACUUAUGCAACCCAGAAUUCUCGACCCCCAUUAAUGAGCUUUGAGGGGGUAUUUAUAGUGUUUUUGUGGGGUGAUCCCCAAAAUUAUAAUACAUGUAUUUCUGUAACUAUCAAUAAAGUUGUGUAUUCCCAAUGAAUAUACCAUGGGUAAUGUAUGGUCAAAUCCCUAGGUGCUGUAGGGAUUUUAUGAGGGCUGUCCUUAUUCUCUUUUGACUGAUGUGAUUCUUCACAGAGUAGCCGUCAUUAGACUUUAUUGGUCAUCGUCUUGUAGGUGCAGAUCGGGGAUUGUGUCGUCAGACUUUAUUGCGUGUGGCAGUCCCAACACGCCUCCUCCCAUGCGGCAAAAAAUGCGAGAUGACUGCUCAGAGGAAGUCUGACACCUCCCGGAGAUGCUUUGAUGCCAUCUUGAUCUCCGGGAGCAUAUAAAACCUUGCAUGCCUUCUCCGGGAGGCAUAUCCAAGAUAAUGCCUUUCUUAGCAAAGACUUAGCUAUUAAUUCAAGUGCUAAAACCUUUGUGUCCACGUGUCCUUGUCUGGGUGGUCCACGUACAUUGGGCGAAAUCAGGGGCAACAUUUACCCCCCAAGCCAUGUUUAAUUGUGAAAUGAACAAGGCUUGCUUAGAUGCCUCUGGUUGGCUCCUCGGUUUCCAGGCACGUGCUUCGGGCGCGUGAAGGUGUAUUUAAUGAUCACCAUUACUGCAGCGAUUCACUUUUUGCAGGCGUCGAUUCGUUUCUUGUCCAUUAAUUGAUACAGCGCAUUAAUGGGUGUCAGACGAACACUCAAGCAUUUUCACCGCCUCGAUGACAAACCAAUUCAGCCGUUGGAUCCUGGGAAUUUGUAUCGUGUGCCUUCCCAACCGCACGAUUGGUAGAUGAUCGCGCCUGUUUCACAUGCACUUUGGCCUAUAAAAGCCACUAUUCUCACUUCAUUUGGCUACUUUCAGACUUUCACCAAAUUUUUCCAAGUUUUCCAGAGAGAAAGAAACCCUCGAACUAGAAAACCCUCAAACACCAUAGAUUUCUUAUUGACCUUCCUUCGCCAUUGUCAGUCAACUUUUUACCGUCGAUCAACAACAACGCCCAGUUCUCAAGCUUUAUAACCACAAUGUUUGCAUCCGGUUCCAAAUCUUCACAGAAAGGAGGGACACGUCUGGCCACCCUGGAGGAGGUGAUGAAGGGUCCAGUGGCCCAGGAAGGGUAUAAGCCCCAUGCUAAGGGGUGGGAAGCGGCCGAGCUUCACUCUACCCUUACUUGCCCCCACCAGCUGGAGCACAUUGUGGUGGUGCCAGGCAUCAAGCCCGCGACUUCCGGGACUUAGCACCGGCCGCCCCGGGACGCGGAGACGCCUAAUCACAAUUACGGAGGCUUCAGAGCUUGGAGCCAAACACACUUGAUGACCAGGGCCAUGCUUCCCCUUCAGGACUACUUUAUUAAUUUUCUUGUAUUUGUCGGCCUUGCGCCAUACAAACUCAUUCCUCAAGCUUACCGUCUGCUUUCAGGCUUAUUUAUUUUUACUCUUCCCGGGGCUGGGGCUCUCCCAGUCCGGCAGAGAUUUUGUAUUUUUAUGAACCUGUUUCCGUCCCUAAAAAGGGAGACAAACUUAAGGACGGCUUUUACGGUUUCCGGGCCCAUCCUUUGAAUGAGGUGUUGGGUUUUAUGCCCUAAAUAAAACUCAUUUCAAUAUAAUCAGAUUUACUUAUUAAUAUAGAUCAGAAAUAACAUUUAA